rnacentral:rRNA from 1 species
GAUGAACGCUGGCGGCGUGCCUAAUACAUGCAAGUCGAGCGAACAGACGAGGAGCUUGCUCCUCUGACGUUAGCGGCGGACGGGUGAGUAACACGUGGAUAACCUACCUAUAAGACUGGGAUAACUUCGGGAAACCGGAGCUAAUACCGGAUAAUAUAUUGAACCGCAUGGUUCAAUAGAGAAAGGCGGUUUUGCGGUCACUUAUAGAUGGAUCCGCGCCGCAUUAGCUAGUUGGUAAGGUAACGGCUUACCAAGGCAACGAUGCGUAGCCGACCUGAGAGGGUGAUCGGCCACACUGGAACUGAGACACGGUCCAGACUCCUACGGGAGGCAGCAGUAGGGAAUCUUCCGCAAUGGGCGAAAGCCUGACGGAGCAACGCCGCGUGAGUGAUGAAGGUCUUCGGAUCGUAAAACUCUGUUAUUAGGGAAGAACAAAUGUGUAAGUAACUAUGCACGUCUUGACGGUACCUAAUCAGAAAGCCACGGCUAACUACGUG